AUACGGAGGGUGCAAGCGUUGUCCGGAAUCACUGGGCUUAAAGCGUGCGUAGGUGGAUGUGCAAGCGUCUUGUGAAAGCCCUCGGCUCAACCGAGGAAUUGCAGGGCGAACUGCACUGUCUUGAGGCAGGUAGAGGUCGUCGGAACGUUAGGUGGAGCGGUGAAAUGCGUUGAUAUCUAACGGAACACCAAAGGGGUAGCCAGGCGACUGGGCCUGUCCUGACACUGAGGCACGAAAGCGAGGGGAUCAAACAGGAUUAGAAACCCCGGUAGUCC
rnacentral:rRNA from 1 species